AUGUUGUAUUAGUUGGAGAGUGGAAUGAAGCAACCUCUCCCUAGUAAACACGUUCUAAAACUUUGAGGAAAAGCCUUAAUAGGACACUAUCUGCCAAAGCUCAUAGAUGAAACUUCAACAGCCUCUAGAUCUAGAGGGAAGUUGUGAGCAUUACGUUCAUGCAUAACUUCAAUACCAAGGUUAGCACGGUUAAUAAUAUCACCCAGGUAUUACGUACACGACCUUGACUAUCAACUACAAAUUGGUUGAAAUUGAAACCAUUUAAGUUGAAAGUCAAUAGUGCUAAUACCUAAAGCGGUGAACCAGAUACCUACUAUAGGCCAAGCAGCUAGAAAGAAGUGUAGAGAACGAGAGUUGUUGAAACUAGCAUAUUGGAAGAUCAAUCGGCCGGGUCGGGCUUGGGCUGUUAUAGAAAAUGAAUUAGAAAAGGGUUGAGAAAGAAGAAUAAUGUUAGAUGAUAAAGGAGGAACAUUGAAGGUCAUAUCAGGUAAAGAUGGAUAUAGAUGUUGAGGAAUAUUUUGGUGAGC